rnacentral:rRNA from 1 species
AUACGGAGGGGGCUAGCGUUGUUCGGAAUUACUGGGCGUAAAGCGCGUGUAGGCGGAUCGUUAAGUCAGGGGUGAAAGCCCGGGGCUCAACCCCGGAACUGCCCUUGAUACUGGCGAUCUAGAGUCCGGAAGAGGUGGGCGGAAUUCCCGGUGUAGAGGUGAAAUUUGUAGAUAUCGGGAGGAACACCAGUGGCGAAGGCGGCUCACUGGUCCGGCACUGACGCUGAGACGCGAAAGCGUGGGGAGCAAACAGGAUUAGAUACCCUAGUAGUCC